GGCUUCAUAGCUCAGUUGGUAGAGUAUCGCACUAGUAACGCGGAGGUCGUGGGUUCAAAUCCCGUUGAAGCCA
rnacentral:tRNA from 1 species